GUGUGUGUGUGUGAGUGUGUUG
rnacentral:miRNA from 1 species